UGAGGAAUAUUGGUCAAUGGGCGAGAGCCUGAACCAGCCAAAUCGCGUGAAGGAUGAAGGUAUUAUGUAUUGUAAACUUCUUUUACAGGGGAAUAAAGUGCGGGACGUGUCCCGUUUUGUAUGUACCCUGAGAAUAAGGAUCGGCUAACUCCGUGCCAGCAGCCGCGGUAAUACGGAGGAUCCAAGCGUUAUCCGGAUUUAUUGGGUUUAAAGGGUGCGUAGGCGGGGAAUCAAGUCAGCGGUGAAAGUUUGCGGCUCAACCGUAAAAUUGCCGUUGAAACUGGUUCUCUUGAGUGUAGAUGAGGUGGGUGGAAUUCGUGGUGUAGCGGUGAAAUGCUUAGAUAUCACGAGGAACUCCGAUUGCGAAGGCAGCUUACUAAGCUACUACUGACGCUCAGGCACGAAGGCGUGGGGAUCAAACAGG
rnacentral:rRNA from 2 species